GCACCGGUGGUGGAAUUGGUAGACACGCCAUCUUGAGGGGGUGGUGUCUUAAAGACGUGUGGGUUCAAAUCCCACUCGGUGCACCA
rnacentral:tRNA from 2 species